CAGGUUUACCUGUGUGACUGCGUACCUUUUGUAUAAUGGGUCAGCGACUUAUAUUCUGUAGCAAGGUUAACCGUAUAGGGGAGCCGGAGGGAAACCGAGUCUUAAUUGGGCGUUAAGUUGCAGGGUAUAGACCCGAAACCCGGUGAUCUAGCCAUGGGCAGGUUGAAGGUUGGGUAACACUAACUGGAGGACCGAACCGACUAAUGUUGAAAAAUUAGCGGAUGACCUGUGGCUGGGGGUGAAAGGCCAAUCAAACCGGGAGAUAGCUGGUUCUCCCCGAAAGCUAUUUAGGUAGCGCCUCGUGAAUUCAUCUCCGGGGGUAGAGCACUGUUUCGGCUAGGGGGCCAUCCCGGCUUACCAACCCGAUGCAAACUGCGAAUACCGGAGAAUGUUAUCACGGGAGACACACGGCGGGUGCUAACGUCCGUCGUGAAGAGGGAAACAACCCAGACCGCCAGCUAAGGUCCCAAAGUCAUGGUUAAGUGGGAAACGAUGUGGGAAGGCCCAGACAGCCAGGAUGUUGGCUUAGAAGCAGCCAUCAUUUAAAGAAAGCGUAAUAGCUCACUGGUCGAGUCGGCCUGCGCGGAAGAUGUAACGGGGCUAAACCAUGCACCGAAGCUGCGGCAGCGAACGUAUCACCCAAGACAACUUUACGGAGUUGACGAUUGACGGAGCGAAGCGACGUCAAAGCGUUCAUUAAAGUCGAGUUGGCUUAGGGAUACGUUCGUUGGGUAGGGGAGCGUUCUGUAAGCCUGUGAAGGUGUGUCGUGAGGCAUGCUGGAGGUAUCAGAAGUGCGAAUGCUGACAUAAGUAACGAUAAAGCGGGUGAAAAGCCCGCUCGCCGGAAGACCAAGGGUUCCUGUCCAACGUUAAUCGGGGCAGGGUGAGUCGACCCCUAAGGCGAGGCCGAAAGGCGUAGUCGAUGGGAAACGGGUUAAUAUUCCCGUACUUGGUGUUACUGCGAAGGGGGGACGGAGAAGGCUAUGUUGGCCGGGCGACGGUUGUCCCGGUUUAAGCGUGUAGGUGUGUGUUCCAGGUAAAUCCGGUUCACUUUAACACUGAGGCGUGACGACGAGGCACUACGGUGCUGAAGCAACAAAUGCCCUGCUUCCAGGAAAAGCCUCUAAGCAUCAGGUAACACGAAAUCGUACCCCAAACCGACACAGGUGGUCAGGUAGAGAAUACCAAGGCGCUUGAGAGAACUCGGGUGAAGGAACUAGGCAAAAUGGUGCCGUAACUUCGGGAGAAGGCACGCUGACACGUAGGUGAAGUGAUUUACUCAUGGAGCUGAAGUCAGUCGAAGAUACCAGCUGGCUGCAACUGUUUAUUAAAAACACAGCACUGUGCAAACACGAAAGUGGACGUAUACGGUGUGACGCCUGCCCGGUGCCGGAAGGUUAAUUGAUGGGGUCAGCGUAAGCGAAGCUCCUGAUCGAAGCCCCGGUAAACGGCGGCCGUAACUAUAACGGUCCUAAGGUAGCGAAAUUCCUUGUCGGGUAAGUUCCGACCUGCACGAAUGGCGUAAUGAUGGCCAGGCUGUCUCCACCCGAGACUCAGUGAAAUUGAACUCGCUGUGAAGAUGCAGUGUACCCGCGGCAAGACGGAAAGACCCCGUGAACCUUUACUAUAGCUUGACACUGAACAUUGAGCCUUGAUGUGUAGGAUAGGUGGGAGGCUUUGAAGUGUGGACGCCAGUCUGCAUGGAGCCGACCUUGAAAUACCACCCUUUAAUGUUUGAUGUUCUAACGUGGACCCGUAAUCCGGGUUGCGGACAGUGUCUGGUGGGUAGUUUGACUGGGGCGGUCUCCUCCUAAAGAGUAACGGAGGAGCACGAAGGUUGGCUAAUCCUGGUCGGACAUCAGGAGGUUAGUGCAAUGGCAUAAGCCAGCUUGACUGCGAGCGUGACGGCGCGAGCAGGUGCGAAAGCAGGUCAUAGUGAUCCGGUGGUUCUGAAUGGAAGGGCCAUCGCUCAACGGAUAAAAGGUACUCCGGGGAUAACAGGCUGAUACCGCCCAAGAGUUCAUAUCGACGGCGGUGUUUGGCACCUCGAUGUCGGCUCAUCACAUCCUGGGGCUGAAGUAGGUCCCAAGGGUAUGGCUGUUCGCCAUUUAAAGUGGUACGCGAGCUGGGUUUAGAACGUCGUGAGACAGUUCGGUCCCUAUCUGCCGUGGGCGCUGGAGAACUGAGGGGGGCUGCUCCUAGUACGAGAGGACCGGAGUGGACGCAUCACUGGUGUUCGGGUUGUCAUGCCAAUGGCACUGCCCGGUAGCUAAAUGCGGAAGAGAUAAGUGCUGAAAGCAUCUAAGCACGAAACUUGCCCCGA
rnacentral:rRNA from 1 species